GUCAAUGUCUUCAAAAUCAUCACCUUGAAUCAACACCAUAUAACUUUUGGCGAUUUACUAAAGUUUUGCGAUUAAUAAGACUUUGUAUGAUUGUAAUUUCUUUCAUGGUUAAAACACCAUAAUUCAUCAUGUUUAAAAAACAUGCGGCUACAAAGAAGAAAACAUCACUAGUAAGAGACGUGUUUGUUGGAAUGUUUUUUUUUUUUUUUUUGCCGCCGAGAGAUUUA
rnacentral:lncRNA from 1 species